UAAAAACCCUCACUAGACCAAAAAUUCUACUUUCUAAGUCUUUAAUUCACUUAAACCUCAAUAAUCCUCAAUUCAACCAUUAGAUCGAGCUUAAAUUCACAAUAAAUAUUUAACAUAACUAUAACCAUUAACUCACAAAAUUUCAUCCAUAGAUCUGUUACAAAAUUCUUGAAAUCACUCAAAACAUAAAUCCUAUUUUAUUUCACAAAACCCAAGUCAUCCAAAACAAACCUUGACUUUGCAAAGCUCUUACAAAGUCAUUACAAAUUCAAAUCAUCCAAAACUAAUGCUCAUAGAAACUUUAUCAAUCUUCUAUAAAAUCCCACUCAUCGAUCUGCCAAAGAGUCCUGGAAUCGUCGUUGAGACUCGAUUUUGUGCCUCAGGGUCAUAUUUCGACCCUGAUUCAUAACU
rnacentral:lncRNA from 1 species